AAAUUGAAGAGUUUGAUCAUGGCUCAGAUUGAACGCUGGCGGCAGGCCUAACACAUGCAAGUCGAGCGGUAGCACAGAGAGCUUGCUCUCGGGUGACGAGCGGCGGACGGGUGAGUAAUGUCUGGGAAACUGCCUGAUGGAGGGGGAUAACUACUGGAAACGGUAGCUAAUACCGCAUAACGUCGCAAGACCAAAGUGGGGGACCUUCGGGCCUCAUGCCAUCAGAUGUGCCCAGAUGGGAUUAGCUAGUAGGUGGGGUAAUGGCUCACCUAGGCGACGAUCCCUAGCUGGUCUGAGAGGAUGACCAGCCACACUGGAACUGAGACACGGUCCAGACUCCUACGGGAGGCAGCAGUGGGGAAUAUUGCACAAUGGGCGCAAGCCUGAUGCAGCCAUGCCGCGUGUGUGAAGAAGGCCUUCGGGUUGUAAAGCACUUUCAGCGGGGAGGAAGGCGGUGAGGUUAAUAACCUCAUCGAUUGACGUUACCCGCAGAAGAAGCACCGGCUAACUCCGUGCCAGCAGCCGCGGUAAUACGGAGGGUGCAAGCGUUAAUCGGAAUUACUGGGCGUAAAGCGCACGCAGGCGGUCUGUCAAGUCGGAUGUGAAAUCCCCGGGCUCAACCUGGGAACUGCAUUCGAAACUGGCAGGCUAGAGUCUUGUAGAGGGGGGUAGAAUUCCAGGUGUAGCGGUGAAAUGCGUAGAGAUCUGGAGGAAUACCGGUGGCGAAGGCGGCCCCCUGGACAAAGACUGACGCUCAGGUGCGAAAGCGUGGGAGCAAACAGGAUUAGAUACCCUGGUAGUCCACGCCGUAAACGAUGUCGAUUUGGAGGUUGUGCCCUUGAGGCGUGGCUUCCGGAGCUAACGCGUUAAAUCGACCGCCUGGGGAGUACGGCCGCAAGGUUAAAACUCAAAUGAAUUGACGGGGGCCCGCACAAGCGGUGGAGCAUGUGGUUUAAUUCGAUGCAACGCGAAGAACCUUACCUGGUCUUGACAUCCACAGAACUUUCCAGAGAUGGAUUGGUGCCUUCGGGAACUGUGAGACAGGUGCUGCAUGGCUGUCGUCAGCUCGUGUUGUGAAAUGUUGGGUUAAGUCCCGCAACGAGCGCAACCCUUAUCCUUUGUUGCCAGCGGUUAGGCCGGGAACUCAAAGGAGACUGCCAGUGAUAAACUGGAGGAAGGUGGGGAUGACGUCAAGUCAUCAUGGCCCUUACGACCAGGGCUACACACGUGCUACAAUGGCAUAUACAAAGAGAAGCGACCUCGCGAGAGCAAGCGGACCUCAUAAAGUAUGUCGUAGUCCGGAUUGGAGUCUGCAACUCGACUCCAUGAAGUCGGAAUCGCUAGUAAUCGUAGAUCAGAAUGCUACGGUGAAUACGUUCCCGGGCCUUGUACACACCGCCCGUCACACCAUGGGAGUGGGUUGCAAAAGAAGUAGGUAGCUUAACCUUCGGGAGGGCGCUUACCACUUUGUGAUUCAUGACUGGGGUGAAGUCGUAACAAGGUAACCGUAGGGGAACCUGCGGUUGGAUCACCUCCUUACCUUAAAGAA
rnacentral:rRNA from 1 species